rnacentral:rRNA from 1 species
UGGGGAAUUUUGGACAAUGGGCGCAAGCCUGAUCCAGCCAUGCCGCGUGCAGGAUGAAGGCCUUCGGGUUGUAAACUGCUUUUGUACGGAACGAAAAGGUGCCUUCUAAUAAAGGGCGCUCAUGACGGUACCGUAAGAAUAAGCACCGGCUAACUACGUGCCAGCAGCCGCGGUAAUACGUAGGGUGCGAGCGUUAAUCGGAAUUACUGGGCGUAAAGCGUGCGCAGGCGGUUUUGUAAGACAGAGGUGAAAUCCCCGGGCUUAACCUGGGAACUGCGUUUGUGACUGCAAUGCUGGAGUACGGCAGAGGGGGGUGGAAUUCCACGUGUAGCAGUGAAAUGCGUAGAGAUGUGGAGGAACACCGAUGGCGAAGGCAGCCCCCUGGGCCUGUACUGACGCUCAUGCACGAAAGCGUGGGGAGCAAACA